GGGGAAAAUCGAUCACAACUCGAACUUUUUAGGAUUCGAUCCAGAGUUCUGAACGGAUUAAAUUCGAGUUCUGAGGUACCACUGUACUUGUGAUCUCAUUGUUUUUUUUUCCUCCAAGUGAUUUAUGUCUUGUUAGGUUCAUAUGUGGUACUAAUGAAAAUGUCCUAUAUUUCUUACUCAAGAUGAGAUGCUGUCAUUACUGUCAAAUCAACGACCCAAUCAAGACAGUGCUAUGUAUAUUCCAGUCCUAAAUUCUAUUAAGGGGUGCCCUGUAACAUUUAUUGCAGGCAGUUUCUGGAGAGAAAUGGGAGAAGGAUUUAGGUCCUCUUCAGCAUGAACUGGUAAGUGGCCCAUCUGUGAUAUCACUGAAUGUUUUUGUUUUUUGGUCGUUCAAUUGGUUUGUUAAAUGUCAAUGUAAUUAAUUGUGUCUUCAGCUUGAGUAUGUCCUAGACACAAGUCGACCUGGGGCUGAAUUAAUAGCUAAAUCUGGAUGCAUCUGCCUUACACGGGAGGAUUACUGGAGUCUGGGCUUAAAUCGAUGUAUGGACUCAAAUAUAGGAAAUGCCUGCUUACACCUGGUCAAGGAAGCUGCACAGAGACAUGGAAGUAAUGUUCACAUUGUGGACAUGUAUGUUGUGCCGACAUGGAAAACCAGGGAUGCGGACCCACUGAUUGGUUUGCCAAAUAAUUGCAAAGCAUAUUACCCCAGAUACUUGGAAAGAGAAGACUGUUGAAGAAGUAAAUGCCUUCGUUGUGAAUUCCAAGUGAAUGACAUGGCCAGAGAUUUGCUUACUGGAGUGAAGAAGCUGUGAAAUUACUCCAUGGCACCGUUCAGCCUCUUUAUAGGUUGUCAAGGACAAUCUCUACCAAAGUCCCACCACACACGCAAGCAGUUGUUUGUCGUACUGCAGAAGAGAAGCAGCUGGUGAACUUCAUUGCAAACAAAGAUUCUCAGCCGCAGCACACCGUCAAAGUGGCUGAACAGGUUCCAAAGAAGUUCCACGUUCGGGACUCUGAUGAAGCACAAGACUGCCUGUACAUUCACCUGGGGGCUUUGCUGAAAGCAACGCCAACAGCAUUCUUCAUCAGGGACCAUGUGCAGUUUGUCCUUGAUGUGCUGUUCCCUGAGGUGAGAUAAUGGACUUUUUAGAUUUUAUAUUGUCCGGUGGACAAUGUUUAUGGCUCGGUUAGUUUUUUUGUACUUAUCCAGUUGAGCCAGUCCCAGCAAUUGAUAGCUACAGGCAGAAACAACUCCAGUGGAAAUACCGACACAUAACAAAUGCCUUAUUUUGUCCAGUAACAUAUUUCCUCAUGUUUUUCUCAUUCAUGACUUGCCCUACAGAUCUGAAAGGUUCCCAUAUAAAUGUAUCUUGUACUAUAUUUGCUUUUAAUGACCUAUUAGUUCUUUUAUUGAAAUACAACCUGUCAAAUGAAAAAGGACGGUCUGCUGUAGGACUGUACAUUUUUAUUAUUGUUUUUCACUGUUCUAAGUAUUUUUUUUUCUUUUCUCAAAAGAGAAUUUUUACUUUACCCUACGCAUAAUUUAUAUAUAAAGCAAAUACUGUACUGACUACCCUCAUAGUGUUUUUGCUCUUCACUUAUUCUUCACUUUGCACAGUAAAUGAGUUGCACACAACCUGAAGAUAAAUUGAUCUUGAACUUACCACUGCUAAUGUUAUCUGCACACUGACCUAAUAUUUUAUUGUUCUUGCAUUGCUUAGAUUUGCAUUUCCAGUAUUUCUUCUCUUAUUGUUUCAUUCCUUAUAUACAUCUGCUCGAGCUAUAUAUAAUGCACCAUUUCAGGUUGACAGUGAUAAUUUUGUUUUGCUUACAUUAUGAAGAUCUUGAUAACUUCUCAAAACAUAAUAAGCACAUUUAGAGAGGGCCACUGUUCCCCGCAGCUUAAAUACAGCAAAGAAAACGUGAGAGGAACCAAGAUUCUAAGAAGCAGUCCUGACAGAGUGAGUCUUUUAAGCAUGGACACUCGGUGUAAGACCAAAUAUAUGGGAAAUGUAUUGUUAGUUAAAUAUACACAGCAUACAAAACACUAUGGACAGUAUUUAAAUAUUGAAGACACAGUCCACAAAAGGAUCGACAUCCACUUUUCAGUCUGUUUACUGGGAAUAUUGCAGUUGAACUUAUUUUAGGUGAAUAUUUAUCUGAUUCAUUUAUGUAUAUUCCAACAACUAUAACUGUUAGUGGCAUUCAAAGUAUGCGGCCAUCUGAACAUUUUCUGAGCAGAAAUUCUAGCAUACACUCGCUUAGAAUAAGACAUUUCACUGCAUUCCAUUUUUCUACAAAUGCAUUAUUGUCUAAGCUUGUCUUAGUUGUGAGUAAAGCAAUGAUUACCAGUUACUGUAUGAUGAUCUGUCAAAUAUGUAACGUUUUGUAAUGUCAAAACAUAAUCAGGCAGGCGUUUACGGAAGUCGGUACAUUGCGCAGGGUUCGCGGACGUCUGUGUACUGCGCAUGCGCUCGCCUAUUGGCCAGGCAGUCAGUAUACAAAUCAAAUAGUGACGUACACAGAAAACCAGUGUACGCAUGCGUUCGCAGAUCGGGCAGCCACAGGAAGAAACAACACUGAAUUUGGGGAGAGGACUGGCAGCAAUGUGAAACUGACGUUAAUGAUAGGACUAGGGAAACAUACUCUAACGCAGACUGAAAUACACAGGAAUCAGGAAAACAAUUCAAAUCAGCUGAUCACACGGGGAUUCCACACGAGGUUAACGAGGGGACGUGGCACACAGGAGGGUCGGCACGAACGGUGUGUGACACAUUUAGAUUUUCUUAAUAUUUAAAGACAAAUUUGAGUAAUAAUCUGAGUUACUAUCAACACCAUGACCACUACUUUAAUUACUACUGUUACUACUUAAAGUAACAGGUGGAUGUUAGCAUGUAAAAUCAUUUUAAACAUCACAACACAGUCUUCAACUCAAAUCUGUAUUUUUUUUUUCUGAAAGUACAAAGUGGCAUACAGCCUUUCCUUUAACAGCCAAUGAAAAUAAAUGGUGAAAAAAUACACAAACAGAAACAGUAUUAUUCUGGCAGCCAUUACACUGAGGAAUAAGUUAUGGCUAUUUAUAUUAUUAUUUAUUACUUUUUGUUACUGAUAGUAGUGUUUUUACUGUUUAUUUUUAGGGAUGGACCCCAUAUUGUGGUACAAUGACUGAUGUGUGAUAUGUGUGUUUUUUGUUUCUCCUACUUGGGUUUGUGUGCAGACUCUGUACUGCAAACAAAAUUUACCUUCAGGUACCAAUAAAGUAACUUGAACUUA